GGGGGGAUACCAAAGCGGUCAACUGGAGCAGACUGUAAAUCUGCCGGCUCAGCCUUCGUAGGUUCGAAUCCUGCUCCCCCCACCA
rnacentral:tRNA from 1 species